CAAUAGCGUAUAUUAAAGUUGUUGCAGUUAGAAAGCUCGUAGUUGGAUUUCUGGUGGGAGCGAUCGGUCUGGCGCUUAGCGCGAGUACUUGCAUCGUCUCCGGCCAUCCUUGGGGAGAGUCUGUCUGGCAUUAAGUUGUCGGGCAGAGGAUCCUCAUCGUUUACUGUGAAAAAAUUAGAGUGUUCAAAGCAGGCUUAUGCCGUUGAAUAUAUUAGCAUGGAAUAAUAAGAUAGGACUUUGGUACUAUUUUGUUGGUUUGCGCACCAAAGUAAUGAUUAAUAGGGACAGUUGGGGGUAUUCGUAUUCCGUUGUCAGAGGUGAAAUUCUUGGAUUUACGGAAGACGAACUACUGCGAAAGCAUUUACCAAGGAUGUUUUCAUUAA
rnacentral:rRNA from 1 species